AUUAAGAUGUCCGAAUGAGGUAGUAAACUGUAAAUUUACUUAUGAAUUUAAUUUCUCUUAAUA
rnacentral:tRNA from 1 species